rnacentral:rRNA from 1 species
CCCAAGAGAUCGGGAUAACACCUGGAAACAGAUGCUAAUACCGGAUAACAACAGAUGAUGCCUAUCAACUGUUUAAAAGAUGGUUCUGCUAUCACUCNUUGGAUGGACCUGCGGUGCAUUAGCUAGUUGGUAGGGUAACGGCCUACCAAGGCGAUGAUGCAUAGCCGAGUUGAGAGACUGAUCGGCCACAUUGGGACUGAGACACGGCCCAAACUCCUACGGGAGGCAGCAGCA